rnacentral:rRNA from 1 species
GACGAACGCUGGCGGCGUGCUUAACACAUGCAAGUCGAACGAAGUGGCGAACGGGUGAGUAACGCGUAAUCAACCUGCCCUUCAGAGGGGGACACCAGUUGGAAACGACUGCUAAUACCGCAUACUGAAGGAGGGGAUUGCGUCUGAUUAGCUAGUUGGAGGGGUAACGGCCAACCAAGGCGAUGAUCAGUUACCGGGCUGGUGGGGUGGACGGCCCCAUUGGGACUGGGGCACGGCCCAGACUCCUACGGGGAGCAGCAGUGGGGGAUCUUCCGAAAUGGGCGGAAGGCUGACUGAGGAAAGCCGCGGGGGUGAUGAUGGGCUUCGGGUUGUAAAGCUCUGUUAAUCGGGACGCGGUACCGGAAGAGAAAGCCACGGCUAACUACGUGCCAGCAGCCGCGGUAAUAC